rnacentral:rRNA from 1 species
CCUAACACAUGCAAGUCGAACGGUAACAGGAAGAAGCUUGCUUCUUUGCUGACGAGUGGCGGACGGGUGAGUAAUGUCUGGGAAACUGCCUGAUGGAGGGGGAUAACUACUGGAAACGGUAGCUAAUACCGCAUAACGUCGCAAGACCAAAGAGGGGGACCUUCGGGCCUCUUGCCAUCGGAUGUGCCCAGAUGGGAUUAGCUAGUAGGUGGGGUAACGGCUCACCUAGGCGACGAUCCCUAGCUGGUCUGAGAGGAUGACCAGCCACACUGGAACUGAGACACGGUCCAGACUCCUGCGGGAGGCAGCAGUGGGGAAUAUUGCACAAUGGGCGCAAGCCUGAUGCAGCCAUGCCGCGUGUAUGAAGAAGGCUUUCGGGUUGUAAG